AAUGACUGUAAUAUUUUUUCUGUCUAUGAAAAAAUAACAUAAAAAAUUUGGUGCACACUGAAUAACGCGAGUAGCGGGUUAUUUAACAGUGUGCACCACAUUUUUUAUGUUAUUUCGAAUAUUACAGUCAUUUCUUAUAAUUUAAUUCUAAAUUCCAUUUUAAACCGUAGAAAACCAUGAAAAAACGUUGAUGACGUCGCGG
rnacentral:lncRNA from 1 species